AUAUGAACCAUGCCUCGCAUAAAAAAGCUCUCAGAAGACCUACAAUUAAGAAUUGUUGACUUGCAUAAAGCUGGAAAGGGUUACAAAAGAAUCUCUAAAAGCCUUGAUGUACAUCAGUCCACGGUCAAACGAAUUGUCUAUAAAUGGAGAAAGUUCAGCACUGUUGCUACUCUCCCUAGAAGUGGCCGUCCUGUAAAGAUGACCGCAAGAGCACAGUGCAGAAUGCUCAAUGAGGUGAAGAAGAAUCCUAGAGUGUCAGCUAAAGAGUUAUACAAAUCUCUGGCACAUGCUAACAUCUCUGUUGACGAAUCUACGAUACGUAAAACACUCAACAAGAAUGGAGUUCAUGGGAGGACACCACGGAGAAAGCCACUGCUGUCUAAAAAAAACAUUGCUGCACGUUUGUAGUUUGCAAAAGAGCACCUGGAUGUUCCACAGCACUACUGGCAAAACAUCCUGUGGACAGAUGAAACCAAAGCGAGUAGUGACUGAUGCUGCAGGGUAGACAGACGUACAGAUUUGUCCAUGACGAUGAGAGCAGCCGUGCCCAGACCGGUCUGAGCCUGGAUGAGGCCGUCAAAGUCCAUCAGCACCUCCUCACACACAUUCUUGGGAAUGAGGGGUGUUGAGGAGCCGCCCGGGAUUACAGCGAGCAGGUUAUCCCACCCA